AAUAUAUUUGCUAGCAUAAAAUAAAUUUUUAUAAGUUAUUCAAAAGAUUUAGAGCUAAAAAGAUAAUCAUAGAAUGUUCUCGAGCACAUUCGGACAAUUAUGACCCAGUUAUCUGAGUUCAUAAAAUAGAAGACAAAGAGGAAGGUGGUGCUUGUAGGCCUAUAAUCCAGCCGUGUGCUGGGGUUUAUUAGCCCAAGAUAGGCUGUACUGUAUUGGUUCUUUCAUCUGUGACGAAGGCAACUACACUACGGUUCUUGUAGUUGCCAAAAGUUGGCUCAACAAAAGCUAAAUCAGGAUGCAUAAAUUUAUGUUGGCUUUUUUGGAAAUAAUCAGUUGCUUGAGUAUCAGGAAAGUUCUACAUUAUGGAAGAUGACUCAUCCUUAUUAAUAAAGGAGGAACCUGAAACUCCACUAGUGAAUCAACUGGAGAACUCCAUAAGUGGGUGCCUUGAUGCUGGUGAAGUGCUUUUUAUCCAAGGAAUUGUUGCUACCCCUCAGUUUCCUUGGCCUCAACUUGAUUGCCUUCCAUUCCCCAGGUAGGGCAUCGUGUGUGUGAAGAUAAGUAUGAGUCCGUGGACUGGUCCUUGGGGAACUACUUGAUCCAUCCGUUAUGACAUCUCUCUCACUGUGACUACCCUCUUCUAGCCAGGUA